UGGCGGACGGGUGAGUAACGCGUGGAAAACCUGCCGUAUACUGGGGGAUAACACUUAGAAAUAGGUGCUAAUACCGCAUAAGCGCACAGCUUCGCACGAAGCGGUGUGAAAAACUCUGGUGGUAUAUGAUGGUUCCGCGUCUGAUUAGCUAGUUGGUGGGGUAAUGGCCUACCAAGGCAACGAUCAGUAGCCGGCCUGAGAGGGUGAACGGCCACAUUGGGACUGAGACACGGCCCAAACUCCUACGGAAGGCAGCAG
rnacentral:rRNA from 1 species